rnacentral:lncRNA from 1 species
UAAGCCAUUGGUGGUGGAGGACAAGGUUCUGGAACCUUUGGUGCUGCUGCUGGCGGUUUCGGUGGUGGUUCUUUUCGUUUCUCAGGUUCCUUAGGCUUUUCGGGUUGUUUAGGUUUCUCGGGUUCUUUGGGUUUUUCGGGUUCUUUCGGCUUUUCGGGUUGUUUAGGUUUCUCGGGUUCUUUGGGUUUUUCGGGUUCUUUUGGUUUUUCGGGUGCUUUAGGCUUUUCGGGUUCUUUUGGUUUUUCUGGUACUUUAGGCUUCUCUGGUUCUUUGGGUUUUUCAGGUUCUUUGGGCUUUUCGGGUUCUUUAGGCUUCUCAGGCUCCUUGGGUUUGGGAGGAGGAGGUGGAGGUUUGAUCUCAAUGCUCUUGAUUGAUCCAGCACCCUUGCAACAUAUCUUGUCCCUCAGCUUCUCAGGAUUGCAGCAUACCACAGUAAUGGUCACGGUGUUGGCUUUCUCAUUGUAUAUCUGGUCUCGUAUUUCUCUUGUUCGCAAAAACCCAUCAUCAAAAAAUUAUCAACUUAAACCAUAUAAAAAACUACUUUGCAAUUAUUAAAAUGCUAAACACAAAAAGGACAAGCAUAAAAAUCAGGAA